GGCAUAAGUGAACAGAAGCUCUUUAAAGAUGAACUUGCGGGAACCAGCAGACUGAUGCAAUAUAUCACAGGGACAAAAAGGCCAGACAACAACUUUCUGAGUACAUGGCAUAAAACCAGAUGGGGAGAAAAGAAACUGGUACUUUUUGCCUGACAUGACCUGAGGAAAAUUAUUGGCUAUUAUGCGGCUCUUGCAUGGUUGUUUCAGGCGUAUCAUGUUCUGAAGUGAUUAAAAUGCAACUGGUGACAGCAGGAACCCAAAUGCCCUUCUGAAUUGUGUGCAAAAUGUGACAGUUUUUCUUUCAAUCCAGGCAUUCAUCCAAACCAAGCCAUUUCAGGUUCAGGCCAGUUGGAGUAGCUGAAUACAGACACAGAGAUGCUACUUAAGGACAAGAUGAAGUAAUGAGAGAGCAGAGGGAGGAGGAGAUGCAAGAGAGAAGACAAGAAUUUGUUAGAAUAUUUAAAGAGCUCGGUCAUAGACAUCAAGUGCAUCUUGUCCUGGUCUUUCAGUUUGAACAUGAGGAUAAAAUAUGGAAUCACCAGGGUCAGAACAGAGCAAGGGCAAAGGAAGCCAAAACUCAUUAUCAGCAACUAAGUUUCCAAAUACUGAAUAGUUUGUCUGUCCUUGUUAGGCCUGUUUUCUAGAUUUAAAAAUAGCCAAGAUUACUCUUCAAUCAACACUUGCAAAUUAUGAUCUGGCAGUGACCUGUGCGGAGCAUUCUGCAUGUCUGUGCUGUUUGGGUGGUCACAGAUUUACGAGUUUUCCUGAAUGCCUCCUGGAUAGCUGGGAGGAAGGCCACGGUUCUUUUAGGCACAUAAAUAAAUGCCAGUUGUGGUAGUGGCA
rnacentral:lncRNA from 1 species